CGAAGCAGCAGGCAAGCUGCCAAGAGCUCCUUUUCUCCCGCCUCUCAGCUGAUCGGCGGGUGGGCGGGGCUUCCACGGAGGCCUCCGUGUAGGCCGCAGUGAAGCCUGAACUCGAGUAGGGCCCAAGCCAGCCAGGAAGGAGGAGGCAGCCAGAGUGUUCUCUGCAGCAGAAGACCCUUUGCUGCCCUGCUUAACCCAGACCAGCAUUUGCCAGUCAAUUGCAGUGUGUUGCAAUCAGGGAACAAGAAAUAUGCAGAAAUUGCCAGGAGUUCCAAAUGAUUCAAGCAACAAAGACAAGCCACAUGCUACAUAUGAUGGGAGGAAUAUUCGAAUAACACUUCUAUCCUCGUGUGAAGACUGGAUGCAGGAUUUUGAAAGCCUGUGGACAAGGCAGCAGCUGUGGGCCCUCAAAUAAACCCACACCUACCUCAAAUUAAAGAGCGCCAGUGCUUGCCUGCCUCCUUUCUGCAGCCUCCACAUCUACAUAGGACCAAGCUAAAGGGAAAGGCAACUUAUUUUUUCCAAUAGCCCAGCUGCAGUCACCUCCCACACACACAAUAUGCCUACCUAGGAUGACCACUGAUCAGUGCUGCUCCUCACCUCUAACCUAACUCAGCUUUGUUUCAUUCUCCCUUCCACCUACCCAGCCUUUUAAGACAUUGUCAAAUUUUGCCACUUUGAAGAAUGUAGCCAGUACAAAGCAGCUGUGAGCCAGCAAGGCCUGGAGUGGUAGGCCACAUCUAAUGCAGCUGAGAUCAGGAAAAUAACUGGGCUUCUUCAGGUGGCAUCUUUGUGCAGCUGCUAAGGGUCCAUGGCCCACAGAAGGACCCAUUACAAUUCCCUGAGACAACCUUUCUGCCCAUAGCUAUUCUGUCUUCCAGCCCGCCAAGGCAAGCCCCACCAAAAGUCAUUCAGGAAGGAGGGAGAAGGCAGUUUGUCAAGGGCUCUCUGAAACCCAAAGCCAGCCCUGGGAACGGCUAUGGUGGCACAAGGACUAGUAUGACAUAUGUAAGCUUGCAAAACAAACAACCACCAACCACCAACCCCCCCCCCUUCUUAUGGCACUUCCUUCAUAGAAAAAGGAAAGGUGGUACAAAAGCUCGAACAUUUUUUAUCCUUGUAAAGGCAAGUUUAUUUGUGUGAUGCUAAACUAUAACAAAACCUUUAAAACUUGCUUACAGAUAAAUUUAAUGAUACCCCCUGAUGUGUUCAUAGCAUAUUCAAUCUAUAGUCAAGGCUUUCCUGUGUUUUACAGUUAAAUUAGAGCUAUUUCAUUCCAACAACCUUUCCUAUUGCUUGAAUUUUUUUAUUCAUUAAAUCAAGACUCACAGAGGGGCUCCAACAGAAUUGGGAUCACUAUGCCAUGUGGAAGGGAAAUCCAACCCUUUCCCCUCCAAACAUGGCCCUGAUGCACACACACACCCAAAGCUGCUAUAAGCCAUAUGAAGAAAUGUAGUCGGCAGAAGCUUUCCUCACAGGUUUAUAGUGGUUUAUGUAAGUAUGACAAGAAAGGGUUCAAACACUCUCUCCACAUGCAAUUUGGCCACUGAUGAUCAGCCCUAGUACAGCUGCUAUUUUAAUGCAAUAAAGAACAUAAGCCUGGCAAAAUGACAUAUUUAGUGUCACAACUGGGUUGGCCCUACCUGUGUCAGAAAUUAGAGUAAAUGGUGCUUUAAUUGAAGACAAAUUUUCAAAAAGGAGAAUCCUAUCUGAUGAAUGGAAACUUGCCUUGGAAGUGCAGAUCUAUUCUUUCAUUUCUCAAUCAUAACUUCAAUUUACACUCAGAGAAACAUACACAAUCCAUAUGACAUGAUGUAGGAUCACAUCUUCAUCCAUUUUGUGGACAAAAUCUUUUGAUAUAGACCAGAAAUGAUUUAAGAAUUUUUAAAGUGGAGGAUUGGUGUUUUUUGUGGGUCUUUUUUUGGGGGGGGUUUCCACUUUUUACAAGCAAGUGUGCUUUAGUACUUAAAUAACUUUUGAUGUACAGUAGUUAAAAGGUUUGUGCUUGGCAUGAGUUUUGAAUUGUUAAUAGGGUUAUUUUUUUAAUUUACACUACACAUGAUAUGGCUAUAUUAGAUUAGUAAAUUUUAACAUUCCACAGAGGAAUGAUAAUGGCUUUCUGAUUAUGUAAGAACAGAGGGAAUAAAACUUUUGCAUUCAC